CAAAAUCAGACGCGCCCCGCUGUCGUGCUCUCAUUGGUUGGUAGCGGGGGGCUGGAUCCUCCUCUAUAGGCUGACGUCGUCGGGGGCGGGUCCUCUUAUGACGUCACCGUCGCCAUCUUGUUAGCGAAGUCCUGGAGCUGUCAUCUACGAUAUUCUAUUAUGCAAUUCUUAGGAGGUUUAUCAGUUAUUAAACAGGCAACUGUAUCAUUGCAGCACCAAUGAGUGAGAGGUAGAGGCGGUGUGUUUAGUAUGCAACUCCACUGGUCCUUCUCCCUCUACUCAUAUAUACAAAACAAUAUUAGCUUUAUGCUAUCUGAGGCUAAAAACAACAUCCUGUAAUACUACCGGAAAUGGACAAAUAUGAUCCGUCCAGAAACAGUGAAUUAUCUUUUAAAGUUCCGCUCUAAUAUAUUGAUUAUUUCUAACACUUGACAACGUGGUUUCUGCCCAAUGUGACUUUAACGUAGCAUUACCAAAAUGUUAGCAAGUUAGCUUGACAACGUGGUUUCUGCCCAAUGUGACUUUAACGUAGCAUUACCAAAAUGUUAGCAAGUUAGCUUGACAACCUGGUUUCUGCCCAAGGUGCCAUCAUUUGCAAGAUGUUAUGUUCUCGUGCUUAAUUUGUGCCUGUCUGAAACCAGAAAUAGUCUUGAGUUAUUUCAACAAUUGCUGAAUUGCAAAGAAAGUCAUUAGGAAGACUGAAGGUCAGCUAACAAGUUUAUUUGCACCCCCUAAAUUAGCCUAUUGGUACCAUAACUCCGUGAGUGUUUAUUAGACAAUUACGUUUUCUAAUAACUUUGCUCUGAUUCUUCAGAGAAUAUUUUGAUGGAUAUUAACAGUUAUUCAACCUUCCUUAAAUUUUACAGAAAAUGCUGCUGCGUGUUUCGUUUGGUGGAGAGCAGAAGUACAUAAAGCUGCCUGAAGUAACAUUUGGUGAUUUCUUGAGAGAAGUGAGUAUUAAAUUUAACAUCGAUGAAGAUAGACGGUUGGACAUCAAGAUCCAUGACCAGUCCAACACAGAGGUCGACGCUGAGGUUUUUGAGGAGGUCGUUAAAGAGUCUCAAGGACCUUUCCUUGUUUCAUUGGCCAAUGAAGCACCUGGUAACCCUCAGUCCACGUCAUCUCCACGCUCUACUGCAUCUGAAGACACAGUGA